UUAACAACCAAGCUAUUAAUAAAGCUGUAAAAAAAGUUAUUAAAAAUAAUACAGCCACUCAUGAUGAUAACUCUGAGGCCCACAAAAAAAAAACUCACAAUUAAGUUUGCAAACCACCGAGAAGAACUAUUUUUGCGCGGAAUUGUAUUAUCGUUCAGUUUAUGCCUUCUAUGGCAACGAUAAUGAAAGUUUGUUCUUUCGCUUCAUAUGCAAUGAAAUUGAAAAAUAAAAUUUCCCACAAAAAAUUGGCGUUAUUCAUACAUGGCUAACAAAAAAAGGGGUGGAUUGUAAUGAAAUUAAAGUCAGCUCACUGAGAUAACUCAGUUAAUUGUGCAGCAGACGAGAUUGCAAAGCUUGAAACUGACAUCGAUAUGCUAAUAUAUUUUUCGAGAUCAAGGUUUAGGGUGUAGAGUUGGGUAGUUCCGGGUGGAACUAGUUCAUUGGAACUAAUCCAACUGAUUGACAUGCCAUAUUUUACAGAUUCAUACAAAGACUAAAAAAAGCUUCAACUUUUUUCAAUAGGCAACAACUGUGUGCGUUGUGAUUUAGGUGAAAGGUAAAUAAAUUAUUUGAGGCAACCACAUUAAAUGAAUGUGGUGGCAUCCACAUAUUAUUUUUUUUAUUGUCAACAAAUCUAAAUUGUUUGAUUGCGCUUCGAUUCGUGUUUUUUUCAGCAUA